GCCGCAGUGUUCCUGUCAGCGCUGGGUGCAGGGCCGGUGGCUGAGCUGCCUCCUCGCUCGGUGUUUGCUGAAACAAACCUGAAAGCAGAAGCAGAUUACUGACAUAUCAGCACUAGCCCAGAGGCCCCCCCCUCUCCCGCAUCUUCAGGAUAGCUGUUUCAGCCCUGCUCUUUUCUUUCCUGCCCUCUCCCAGGCACGCAGAUGGAUUGUUACACACUCUCUGAUGCUGCAGGUUUGCGUCUUCUGCUGAGAAGGGAAGUGAAGCAGUGCUCCCCACUUCCUGGCUCACUCUUCUGGCCCCUGUUUCAAACAAGGGCUUCUCACCCACGUGCAUUUUCAGAAUACUACAGAUAUGUUGGGGUGGAGGGCAGGAGAGCAAGCAGCUGAUUCUAUCCAUGUACUCAGUAAGUUUUCUCAUCACACGUCACAGAUUAGGGCCCCUUGAGACCUGUUCUGCUUAAAGCCUGCAUCCCACCAAGGUGCUGGAUGGAGCUGGAUGAGCCUUUUGUAAUGGGGCAGGUCAGUCCAGGGCAUCAUAUUGCGUGUCAGGCAGCAGAGAGCAACUCAGAUGGACUUUUGUCUCAUGAUUGACAUGAGGUUUCUGAACUGGCACAUGAAGUCCAUCCCAGCCCUGCUUUAGCCAUUUUUUGUCUUUAUAGGAUCUGAUUCUUUCUGUAUAAGACAGUUCAGGCCUUUGUUUCAUCACUGCAAUGCAGCCUAGCAACUGUUCUCACAGCAGUAUAUCCAGGCAUGAACCUGUAGAAUGUCACUGAUCCUUUGUCUUUGCCACAGGCAAUCCAUUAAAAAAUGAAAAAAAGUUGAAAUUUUAGUUGAAAAUCCCAUUUCAGAUUUAACUAGCAAAAAUCCAAACUAAGCCACUGAUGCCUGCUAUCUCUUCUUUCUUAUUCUGGUUGAAAUUAUCCCCAUUUAAGUAAGGUUAAAACCAGACAUGGCAGAAGAAUCAGUUCUGACUGCCCAAUAAGGAGACCUUUUAAAAGCCCUCUAAACAUACAAUUUGUGUAGGAAAUUAACUACUGAGAUGCAUAAAAUGCAACUGAAAUAAUUUGUGCGUCAGUGUUUUUCAGAUUGUUUCUUUCUACUGUUUCCAAGCAAUAUGGCCUAAAACUUGAACAAUGGCCUAAAAUCUGAACAUAAGAAGUUCCAUACAAAUAGGAGGAAGGACUUCUUUACAGUAAGGGUGGUGGAGCACUGGAACAGGCUGCCCAGAGAGGGUGUGGAGCCUUCUUCUAUGGAGAUAUUCAAGAUCUGUCUAGAUGCCCACCUGUGUGAUCUACUGUAGGGUACCUGCUUUAGCAGAGAGGUUGGACUCGAUGAUCUCUUGAGAUUCCUUCCAACCCCUGCAAUUCUGUGAUUCUGUGAAGAUAGGAAAUAAAUGAUGAUAACCUACUACAGUGAUCAGAUCACCUGAGGGAUUCCACUGUGCUGCAAACCACAUUUCAUUUGAUUUAUUUUAAAGAUGACAAAUAGUUGUUUCUUCUACCUCUGAUAAAAACAAAGCAAAAAAACAGACAAAAUACUUUACAUGAAAGAAAAGACUGAACUACGAUAAUUUAUUGCAAUAAAUCUAAUGGGAUUACACCAUCACUAAGCUGAAGCUUUUGUACAAAGUUAUUGCUUAUGGAAACAACUCAGGGUUCAAAGAGUCAUAGAAUCAAAGAAUCACUAAGGUUAGAAAAGACCACUAAGAUCACCUCAUCCAACCAUCAACCCAUGCCCACCAUGCCCACUAAACCAUGUCCGUCAAUGCCACAUCUCCAUGGUUCUCCAAUACCUCCAGGGACAGUGACUCCACCAGCUCCCUGGGCAGCCUGUUCCAAUGCAUUACAAUUCCUUCUGAGAAGAAAUUGUUCCACCUCUACCCUCAGUAGGACUUUGAAUGCAGUCUCUCCCUCCUGCACUGCACUGCAAGAACCAAAUGUAUAAUUUUACCUUUUACAUUUAGGCAACAUGCCUUAAAGACACAUGUCAACACAAAUGCAAAGCUAUGCUUACAAAAGCUAUAAACCAAUUACGUAUUCAUAAUUUUCAACAGAAUUGUUUUAUUUUCAGACUGCCAGGUGUCUGAGAAACUUUUUUAUGGCAACAGUAAAAGAGUUGUCAUAGCAAUAACAUAUAAUUUCUUAUCACUACCAGUAAGAACUUUUGGUGUGCUUUGCCUCAUCAGUUCAACAGAUUAUUAUGGUCUUUAGCUACUUAUUAACCAGCAGUAAUAAAAAUAAUCACAUACCAUGAAACUCUUGCUGAUCUAACACAGUGCCAUAAUGAUAGUAGCCAGACCCAAGAAGAAGACUUUUUAGUUGAUUUUACAGAAUACUCAAACAGCUAAGCUGCGUAUUUAGCAAAUGCAUUUCAGGAAAUCAGAUCAUUUUGUAUUAGUUCCUUUAUUGAUGGAAGCACUUGCAGUUAUCACAAAUGGCUGAAGAUAUUUUCAAGAAAUUCAUUUGAUUAAACAAAACAAAAGCAAAUAUUUUUAAAGCCAUGCAAGACCUGCUAACAUAUAUAUUUGCAAUGUAAAAAUCUAUGGUCUAUGUGGUAAAUGCAAAUUAUUCUAAUUGCACAAAACCAUAAAGCUGUCUGUAGAUUCAAAUUUCUUCUUAAAACGUAUGUAUUAUUUAAAUUAUUUCAUUAUUAGCUCAUUACACUCCAAAUAUAACAUUGUAUAAAUAAAUAUGCUUAGCAUUUAAGCUUCUCACUCAUCUCUCAUCUCUCUCAUAUAGCUGAUGUAAAUAGUCUUUAUCCUUGAAGAAAUACAUGCAGUGAAGAAAAACCUGGCAGGAAGUUGUACUGCUUUUAGGAUAAGUUCUCAUUCACAUGCCUUACAAUACUGAUAAAUAUAUCAAGUGGAAUAUAUACCAGCCUGUAUGUGAAGUAUAUGCAAGGUCAACAUGUUGUUAACAUGACUGCUCUGUCCACUGCAGUCCUAGUCUACACUCCUCUCCUCCUCAUGCUCCACAGUAAUCAUGUUAUGGGAAGGCUGCAAGACACUGGAAAAACAACAAGCACAUUUGCCUUUUGAAGCAAGUAAGGCCUCAGCAUAAAGCUAUGUAUGUGCCUAAGUGCUGAAGAGCUGGAAUUUAAUAUAUAUUUUGCAACUAGAGGCUGGCAGUGUGACAUUUCUGAAUUUCCUUCAGCACCAGCAUAUCUUGAUCGGAAGCAAAUACCAGCAAUGUCACCAAGCUGAGCAGUGCUGACAGCUGCAAAUGGGGAGUCACGUUCUUGUUGGAGCCUAUUUCAAUUUUCAGAGCAUGCUGAUGCAACACGCUGCAGUUGUGCUGAGUAAACGUUUUAUGCUUUGUCUCAUCUAGCACAUACUAUGCAAUCUGAAAUAUCAGCUGAGCAGCAGUUACCACAGACAUUACGAUAUCAGUGAAUCAACAGAAACCACACAGUUACAUCUAGAACAUCUAUUUCCUGAUUUGGGUUGAGAUGAACACUGAAGAACUCAGCAACCACAGUGCUGUAAUUUUUGGUGAAAGGAAGUUGGUUAUUUCUAAGAGCAACUGAAUGACGGCAUUACUGUUGAGUCUAAAAAAUACCCUCAUGUGGCUUAAAUUAAGAUUAUAAAUGAUUAUGCAUUAGCCCAGAUGUGGCUAAGUGAGGUGCAUAGAAAAGGUUGUAGGUACAAGAGGCAUACUUGAAGAGUGCAGAACUCGACCCACAGCGUGCAGAAAAUGGGGCCUCUGGACCAUUUGUCCAUGGCAAAUUGAUACAGUGAAGCCUGUAUUUGUCCUAUAUUUGUUCCCAGUCUUGCAAUCGGUGAGAACUUUCUGAGCACUCCCUGGGGCAUAUAGAAUGCUUCUGCUGAUGGCUGCCAUGUAGGUAUAGAAAGCGCUUCUCAAAACGAAGGACAGAUUGAGGGCUGCUCUGGGGCACAGUCACAACUGCUCUGCAUUCUUCAGCUUUUACUAGUAUGAACUUGGAUUUAAAAGACUACUCCUGACUUUAUCACUGCCAAAUGUUUCUUUUUCUUAAUCUAGCAUUGUAAGAACUGAAAAUAGAUGGGAUGUAUGGAGGCUGUCUGGUCCAAAGCAUUUUUUAUUACAACAAGAAUAGGAAUCCCACUGCCUCUCUUGACAAUGUGUUCUAGCAUUUGAUUGCCCUAACUGUAAAGAAUUAUUUCCUUAUAUCUAGCAAGAAUUUUCCUUACUACAGUUUUGUCGGAUGCCUCUCAUUCUUUCAAGAAGGGUAUGGAUCCAUCUUCCCCACAUCUAAUCACCAGGUUGUCAAAGGUAGCCAAAGCAGUUCCCGUUGGCCUUCUCCAGCUCUCCCAGCUUCUUCAUUUUACAGCCAUUAUGUUUAUAUUCUGUUCACAGGAGUGAAAACUCAGAGCAAUAUAUUGUCCAGAUGGCAGCCAAGGCCCAAACUUACAUCAAGCAGAUACCUUUCCCUUGGAGAACAGAUGCAAUGUUGAGGGACACAAUGAGGAGGGGGUGAUGGUACAAAUAAUGAUGAGAUUCUUGUGAUUAAUAUCACAUUUAAAUCUACAUAAAGAACAACGCUGCACUUCAGAAAUUUCUCAUGCUCUUAAGGGAUUUGGAGCGCAAGUUGUUUGAUGAGGAACCUGGGAUGGAUUCAGUUUCGGAACGGAAAGGGUCCUUUGAGUGCAUGGCCUAAGAGGAAAUAUGUGUUCUACUCCAGCACAGUGCCACAGGUAUUCUUCCACUCUGCACAAGAUGCAGUAUAUUCAGUCACAACUGAAGCUUCCAGGAUUUUAGUGCUGGAUGAAGGCUGUCUGCUGAAUGAAUGAGCUGCAGUUGCCACAGAAGAACAUGAAUGAGCAGUUGUAUGAGGCUCCAAACCAACACAUGAUUCUAAUCAUGAUGCUGGACUGAAGAUAGCAACGACUAUUUUGGAAUAAAAGAAAAGACCAGUUGAGAGGUGCUAGAUAUGUGGUUGAUAAUUAAUGUUCUUGCUGGAGGCUGGCCAUGUUUCCAUAAAAAGAAAACUAGACUAACACAGAUAAAAUAGAAAGGAAAAGAACAGCAGUGAUUGAAAACACAGCUUUUGGUUUUGGUCCUGAUUGUUACUGGCAACCUCAAUGCUAGAGAAAAACAGGUUCAGCAGAGUUUUAGCAGCCACUGUGAGACUUGGCAAAUAUACCAGCACUGUGCUGUUUAAGACAUCUAUUUUUGCUGCCUUUUUGGACACAGGCUCACUGCAGCAAAAAAAAAGGUUAGCUAAGAUGCUCUGUUUUUAAAUGAAAGCUAACAUCAAGGAGUGAAAAUAAGAUAGACAACAAUGGAAGAAAAAGGAAAAAAAAAAAAAGAACAAUAAAAACAUAAGUGUUACUGUCUCAGUGGUUUUCAGAACUGAACUGUGACUGGAGAAGACGGAAGUACCACUAAGAUGCCUCCGUUUGGUCAGGACAUCUUCCACAACUAAGUAAGGAAAACAAAAGCCCAGUGAUAACUCUGUAGUCCCUAAAGGACAACAGAACAACGCUGCUUUUGGUCUAGAUAGGUUACGUUGCAUCAGCAAGCACUGUGACUUGACAGAUGUUAACUUGAAGAGUAAAACAGUUGGUGCUGGGAGUACACCAGGAGAGUAUAAAGGAGGCUAUUCUGAACUAGCCAACUGUAGACUUAAUUACUGUUAGGAUUUAAUGUGUCAUAUUACUUUAACAUGAAAGGAAUUCUGGAAGUUCCAAAGGACUGUGCAAUCAAAACCAAAGCACAGAAGCAAUUAUAAAUGGAGAUUCAAUUAGAAAGUGCAGACCUGGUCUGAACUAAAAUACCUCUGCUUGGCCACACCACCACUGCUACGCUCAUCUGCCUUGGGGAGAAGACCAAGUGACUGCACAGCUAAAAGAAAACUCUUUAAAAGCCUUGUCCAUGUUGUUUAGGCUUAGCUAAUCUCUCUGUAGGCCCCACACAGUAUGUACAGGCCUGAAGACAUUAUUUUGUUGUAGGUUUUCAGUUUAUACAGUGUGAAAUACAAUAAGCUUUCUGAGGACAGGCACCUUGCAGGGAUAGCACCAGCUUCCUGCAGAAGGCAGAGAGGGAGGGAGCCCUCCUGGCACCCACUUGUCCAAGCUGCCUACAGGGAGAAACACACAAGUCCAUGUUUUUGUUCAUGUUGUCUUUGCAUCUUAUUCCGAAUUUUCAUUUCAUGAACCGAGCUAGCUUUUUAUUAUCUUGGAUAAAAUUGAAUAUAGAGCUUAGAUGGUUAUAUUCCUCAUUGCAAACUUAAUCCGCUCAUAAAUGAGAGUUAUAAAAUGUAUAUUUCAUUUAGGAAUAAAAGUGUAUGCCAUUAUCGUAUAAGGUCUUUUACUGAGAUUGAAAACACAUUGCAAGGAUUAAACACGACCUGAACAUAGGAAAACAUAAAAUAAAGAUAUUUCUCCAGAAAGCUGAGAGCGUAACUUACAAUUGAUUUUGAUAGAUGUUAAAUGCUCUGGAGGAUUAAAGCCACGAGAGGAUAUAGAUUACGGUAAUUCAAGAUAUUUUCAGUCCUGCAAUUUCAGUGAUCUGAAAGCCAUUUUUAUGUCAGUUCCUUCACGCUAAUCCACCUUUACUUGCAGCGAAGUACAGUAAAAUACCAUUUGUUUUAACUGUGAGAAAUAAUACU